UACGUAGGGGGCAAGCGUUGUCCGGAAUCAUUGGGCGUAAAGAGCGUGUAGGCGGCCAGAUAAGUCCGCUGUGAAAUCUCGAGGCUCAACUUCGAGCUGUCGGUGGAAACUGUCUGGCUAGAGUCCGGAAGAGGAGAAUGGAAUUCCCGGUGUAGCGGUGAAAUGCGCAGAUAUCGGGAAGAACACCUAUGGCGAAGGCAGCUCUCUGGGACGGUACUGACGCUGAGACGCGAAAGCGUGGGGAGCGAACAGG
rnacentral:rRNA from 1 species